GAAGCGCAGCAAUGCGUGCAGGUGACCGGUACUAAUCGGCCGAGGGCUUACACACAA
rnacentral:rRNA from 1 species